UUAUAAUCUAAACUGCAUUAUUUAUACUCGCAAAAUCUAUAAAUAAAGUAUGCGUGUCUUAUGUCUUUCUUUCAGUCUACCGAGAGCGUGUAUAACGUAGGUGAUAGCUGUUAAAUAAAUAAAAAAAAAUAUAUAAAAGUUAAUCAAAACGUAUUAAUUUUGACUUAAUAAUUAAUUAUAGAAAAAAGUCUCGAAUGGAUUUAGAAAAAGUCAUCAUUAAAAAGAGAUUUAAUUGAUUUCCCAUACUAUUGAGACGUCGUGUGUAGAGCGGGUAAAUUGCCACCAGUUAUCAGACAUACCGACGAAUCCAGAUUACUCGUUUUGAUUCUAGUUCAGUCGAGUAUCCUCCCGUGAGUAAACGCCUCAUUUCGACAAAGUCACGGGCCACGCCUGGCUGACUUUUCCAUUAAAAUUGGCCACGUCAUCCGCUGUAUAUUCGAGGCAACAUUAAUAAAGUGAGAGGUUUGAGUCAGUAUGAUAAUCUAACUGGCCAGCAUCCACAGGGUAAUAAAACCCAGAUGCUUAGGCCCAUCUAUGCUAUUGCUCCAACAUCUACAAGUACUUCGCUUCCCAAUCGAUAAAUGUUUCGUGUCAAAAUUUAAUUUCUUUUUUUUUAUUAUUAUUAUUAUUCUCUCCCGUCGGUUACUAAGAAAUGAAUCCCGGAUAAAAAAAGAAAAAAUACAAAUCCGAAUUUACAAAUUUAUAGCCAACCAUUACGCGUGCGGGUUAUUACGCAUUUUUUUUUUAAUCGAGUAUAAUUUAAAACCGAAUCGUGAUAAACUUUCCCAUAUUUAAUACGAAUAAUAAUAAUAAUAAUUUUAAAA
rnacentral:lncRNA from 1 species